CAUACAUUUCCAGCUGGUUGCAAGGACUUCUGUGGCAAGUUUGUUUUAUUACUUUAUUACUUUUAUUACUAUGUCUUUGUUGAACUAUCCAAAAUUUGGUUUUGGGCUGUUUAGAAUAUAUUGUUCACAAAUCUGUCUUGUGCAAGUUUCUCUCUGUUUAUGUUUUAGGUUGAAGAUCGCCCAGAGAGCGAUAAGCCAUACAGUUGCUGAUCUUGAAGCAUUAGGCAAGAUUGUCUGAGAACGAUGAACUGGAUUGGUAAUUACAAAAGAUCGCAAAUGACCAAUGCUUCGUCUGAGCCCCGGUCAUCAAAGGCCAAAGUUCACAUUAGAGAGCUGUCGCAUUACAAUCUUUUUUGUAGGGACAUAUUCAAAAACAAAGAUAGAGGCAAUUUGUGCCGUGUCUGCCACGUCCAUGAUGAUAAGAAGAAGAAUGCAAGAAAGAAGUGGCGCUCAUGGUCUCAGUGCACAGUGUGCCAAUCAUGGUCACACACAGCAUGUGGCUUUAAAAAGAACAUGUGCCUUCACUGUCAGGGUCAGGACACCAUGCAAACACCCUGAAGAUGUAUCUUGUUACUUGUUUGGGUUGGUUUUACUGUGUUGA
rnacentral:lncRNA from 1 species